CCCUGGCCGGAAUCCCUGCCUCCGAAAGCCGAGAGCUCAGAAGCGGAGAGAAGUUGGGGAGGUCGGGUAGGGCAGCGUUGGAAGGAAUUGCGGACAGACCCCCCGCCCUGGUCUCCGGACCCGGGAGGAGCGCCUCUGUUACGACUGGGCCGAGUGUGGACGCGCUGUGCGCGGCCUCGCUAGGGCUGGGAGUUUGCAGACCAUCCCUACCGCGGCCGGCUCGGCGGCGGCCCUGCGGCUCCCGCGGCGGCCCCGGGCGCGAUCCAGCCCAGGUAGCCGCGCCGCAGGCUCGGUGCGCCGCUACCCCGCGCCCGGCUGCGCCUCGGGCCCCGCGGGCACGGCGGCCGGCGGGCCAUCCCGGCUGCUGCUGCUGCCCAACCAGGAGGAGGAAUUCCUAUUCUAAAGUGGACAUUGGAGAAGGAUCAAUUAGGCUAUGCAACAACAUUUUAUCUACAUAGAAUUAGCCAAGUGAUCAGAGCAGAAGGCAAUUUAUUACUUUAUUCAACCAUUACCAAAUAUAAGUUUAUUGAGUUCGAUCACAGCCACUUACUCUUACAAAGGAGUGGCCACUUCAGAGCAACCCAACCCAGGCCUGACACACAGAAGAUCAUGAUGUGAAUGUAAGUAAAGCCACUGAGCUGGAAAGUAUGAUUUGCAAAGAUUGUACAACCUCUGAACUUGGUCUGUAUUGAGGAACCAUAGCUCAAGGAGUACAUUUUCUUGUCUCCAUAUUUUAUGAAGAAUGCAAUUUGCUAAACACUUCCUUAUUUUAACUGUCUGGAUAAUCUGCAGUGCUCAAAACCACUGUCUAGGCUAUCCUUGAGAGUUAGCUUGGUAAACUUGGAGCAGAACAUUUGGAUUUCACAGGCUGAUAGGAUAUGGGUGUCAAGGUUAUGGGGCCAACACAAUGAAACAUUAAGCAUUUCUAAUUCUUACUGCUUUUAUGUAUGUGGGUCUUUGAACACACUUUGUUUCUAACCACAUCACAGGAGAAAAAAAAAAUGUCAGUAGCCCACAGCAGAUGAAUGUCUUGAUGUGAAUAAAAGCAUUAAUGCUAAAAUAGUGAGAAAAAAU
rnacentral:lncRNA from 1 species